ACGUAGGAGGCGAGCGUUAUCCGGAUUCACUGGGCGUAAAGCGCGUGCAGGCGGUUCGGUAAGUUGGGCGUGAAAUCUCCCGGCUCAACUGGGGGAGGUCGUUCAAUACUACCGGACUUGAGAGCGAUAGAGGAAAAUGGAAUUCCCGGUGGAGUGGUGAAAUGCGUAGAUAUCCGGAGGAACGCCAGAGGCGAAGGCGACUCCCUGGGCCGUACCUGACGCUAAGACGCGAGAGCGUGGGGAGCGAACGG
rnacentral:rRNA from 1 species